AGAGAGGUUGUGGAUGCCCCGUCCCUGGAGGUGUUUAGGGCCAGAUUGGAUGCGGCCCUGGGUAGCCUGGUCUAGCAUUAAAUGGGGAGCUUGGUGACCCUGCAUGUGGCAGGGGUUUGGAGAUUCAUGAUCCUCGAGGUUCCUUCCAACCCUGGCCAUUCUGUGAUUCUGUGACAUGAAGAAGAACAUAAAAAUACAAGUAGGCUCUCUUUUUAGAAUCAAAAUUUGCACAGAUCCAUGUAUUUAUGCAGCCCUAAGAACACAUGACCAAACUGAGAUGCAGUGGCUCACAAGAUCACAUACAUAGACUUGGCUGAGCAGACUUAAGCAGCAGGCAGACAGCAAGCACCAGUUACAGUGGAACAGUAAGUAGAAGCCUGAACAAGCUGUGCAGACUCAUAGGCCUCAUAUCCUCUGAUCUUCUCAGAUCCAAGAGGUGCAGACAAUAUAGGAACUGCUAAAGACCAUCCUGCACACUGACAUCAUAGCAUGGGAGUCACAAUAGAGAGCUUUGGCUGCCCCAGUUCAUAGCAGCAGCCCAGAAACCCCAGGUUCAUUUGCUACUGCACGUGACAGCACAGAAACAUGAAACAGUAAAAGCUGAAUAUCAGCUCAUUGUUAGAAACAGCCCAGACACUUCCUUAUACUCGUUUAUUUAAACAUUUGGUAAGAGGUAGAAACCAAAGAAAAUGAGGAGCAGAGAGUUCUGAAGCCAAGCAACUGAUCCCACGUUUCAGCAAAAGGAUGUCAGUGCUGCAGGAACACAGGCUGGUAGCCUCUUUGCUCUUGAUUGCCAUCUUGGGCAGCGUUGCUGAAUGCACCUUCCAGCAAGCCUGUCUCAGCCCAGUGCACUGCAGAGAAACAGAUGUGAAAGAUGAAGUCUAUGGGCCAGGCUCAUUCGUGAGUAACGCCACAGAGUUCAACGCAUUCCUCAGAAACACCUUUGGCCCACCGUGCCUGAGACUAAAGCAGACUAUCUUGUGGGAUUUCCUGCAGAUGCACAGAAGUUGGAUUCAUCUGCUCUCUGAAAUCUGAUCUUCCUUUCAAGGAAAGAUCUGUUGCAUCUCACCUUUUGCAUGUUCUGUCAAAGACUCACUGCAGUAAAUGCCAGAUCUUCAUUCAGCUGUUAAGGUAGCAUGCAACUUAGGAAGAAAUCACUAUGGCUGGAAUCUGCUUGGCUGAAGACAGCGUCAGUGAGACCAUGGACACAUAGACCAACAGGAGCAGCUACAGGCUCAAUCACAAACAGUAGAAGCACAGGACAAAUAGUACAGGCCUCGCACUGAACAUCCCUAAACUCAGUGCUGUGCACUCCUUGCGCUUUUUUUCCCAGAGCAAAAAUGCUUCACCGGGAAAGUCUCCAAAGCCAAAGAGGAGAGGCCCAGAGGGAGGGAAAAGCAAGAGGCCCUGAGGACAGCCACGGAAAAAUGCUUCUGACUGUGCUAGGUGACAGCCAAAUAAACAGCAAACACCCAUCUCUCUUGAUGACA
rnacentral:lncRNA from 1 species